GACGAACGCUGGCGGCGUGCCUAAUACAUGCAAGUAGAACGCACAGUUUAUACCGUAGCUUGCUACACCAUAGACUGUGAGUUGCGAACGGGUGAGUAACGCGUAGGUAACCUGCCUGGUAGCGGGGGAUAACUAUUGGAAACGAUAGCUAAUACCGCAUAAUAUUGAUUAUUGCAUGAUAAUUGAUUGAAAGAUGCUAUUGCAUCACUACCAGAUGGACCUGCGUUGUACUAGCUAGUAGGGGAGGUAACGGCUCACCUAGGCGACAAUACAUAGCCGACCUGGGAGGGGGAUCGGCCACACUGGGACUGGGACACGGCCCAGACUCCUACGGGGGGCAGCAGUAGGGAAACUUCGGCAAUGGACGAAAGGCUGACCGAGCAACGCCGCGGGAGUGAAGAAGGUUUUCGGAUCGUAAAGCUCUGUUGUAAGGGAAGAACGGGUGUGAGAGUGGAAAGUUCACACUGUGACGGUAUCUUACCAGAAAGGGACGGCUAACUACGUG
rnacentral:rRNA from 1 species